CAGCCGCCGCGGGAAAACGGAGGGGGCUAGCGUUGUUCGGAUUUACUGGGCGUAAAGCGCACGUAGGCGGAUCGAUCAGACAGGGGUGAAAUCCCAGAGCUCAACUCUGGAACUGCCUUUGAUACUGUCGAUCUGGAGUAUGGAAGAGGUGAGUGGAAUUCCGAGUGUAGAGGUGAAAUUCGUAGAUAUUCGGAGGAACACCAGUGGCGAAGGCGGCUCACUGGUCCAUUACUGACGCUGAGGUGCGAAAGCGUGGGGAGCAAACAGGAUUAGAUACCCGCGUAGUCCCUGUCUCUUAUAC
rnacentral:rRNA from 1 species